GCUAGCUGCAAAACUCUGUUUCGUUUGUGUGCAAAUAUAUCCUCUUUGUCAUAUAUUAUGUAAAAACUAGCGAGAAAUAAACACUUCUAAAACUGAAAAUGCUGUUUUUGGAACCUAAUAACACCUCUAAACUUAUUUCGUGGAUGUUAGUAUGGUGAGGUCACAGGCUAGUAGCUAGCUGCAAAACUCUCUGGUUGGUAAGCACUGCAGUA